GAUGAACGCUGGCGGCGUGCCUAAUACAUGCAAGUCGAGCGAACGGACGAGAAGCUUGCUUCUCUGAUGUUAGCGGCGGACGGGUGAGUAACACGUGGAUAACCUACCUAUAAGACUGGGAUAACUUCGGGAAACCGGAGCUAAUACCGGAUGAUAUUUUGAACCGCAUGGUUCAAAAGUGAAAGACGGUCUUGCUGUCACUUAUAGAUGGAUCCGCGCUGCAUUAGCUAGUUGGUAAGGUAACGGCUUACCAAGGCAACGAUGCAUAGCCGACCUGAGAGGGUGAUCGGCCACACUGGAACUGAGACACGGUCCAGAAGCCUACGGGAGGCAGCAGUAGGGAAUCUUCCGCAAUGGGCGAAAGCCUGACGGAGCAACGCCGCGUGAGUGAUGAAGGUCUUCGGAUCGUAAAACUCUGUUAUUAGGGAAGAACAUAUGUGUAAGUAACUGUGCACAUCUUGACGGUACCUAAUCAGAAAGCCACGGCUAACUACGUG
rnacentral:rRNA from 1 species